UGGGUAACCUGCCUCAAAGAGGGGAAUAGCCUCCCGAAAGGGAAAUUAAUACCGCAUAAUAUGUUUAAGUCGCAUGACUUUAACAUCAAAGGAUUUUCUUUUAGAACUUCCACUUUGAGAUGGACCCGCGGCGCAUUAGCUAGUUGGUGAGGUAACGGCUCACCAAGGCAACGAUGCGUAGCCGACCUGAGAGGGUGAUCGGCCACAUUGGAACUGAGACACGGUCCAGACUCCUACGGGAGCAG
rnacentral:rRNA from 1 species